rnacentral:rRNA from 1 species
UGGGGAAUAUUGGACAAUGGGCGCAAGCCUGAUCCAGCAAUGCCGCGUGAGUGAUGAAGGCCUUAGGGUUGUAAAGCUCUUUCGCACGCGACGAUGAUGACGGUAGCGUGAGAAGAAGCCCCGGCUAACUUCGUGCCAGCAGCCGCGGUAAUACGAAGGGGGCUAGCGUUGUUCGGAAUUACUGGGCGUAAAGAGUGCGUAGGCGGUUUUCUAAGUUCGGUGUGAAAUCUCCCGGCUUAACUGGGAGGGUGCGCCGAAGACUGGGAAGCUGGAGUGUGGGAAAGGCAGGCGGAAUUCCUGGUGUAGCGGUGAAAUGCGUAGAUAUCAGGAGGAACACCGGCGGUGUAGACGGCUUGCUAGACCAUAACUGACGCUGAGGCACGAAAGCGUGGGUAGCAAACA